UUGUGGAGAACAGUAUAAAUAUAGGGCCGUAUCUUGCUUAGACUUCACAAGUUAAUCAACUACAACAAGAUGGAUCAAAGACUUCUCACCAUUCUACUCAUCGGACUCGUCUGCUUCGUCAAGCAAGGAGAGAGCCAUGGUUAUUACUACGACCAAAAUAGCGAGAAGCCGAUGCAAAAGUCAGCAAAAGAUUUCUGGCACCAUGGAAAUUAUUACGAUAACUACUACUACGAUAACGACUUGGAAAACAUGAUGAGUAACAUGCCGGUGGAAGACCAUGGCUACUACUAUUAAAGUAGAUGAACCGUAUGUUGCCAUUACAGUUGAGCAAUACAACAAAAUAAAAUAAUAUUCCAAAUA